rnacentral:tRNA from 1 species
GGGGCCUUAGCUCAGCUGGGAGAGCGCCUGCUUUGCACGCAGGAGGUCAGCGGUUCGAUCCCGCUAG